ACUGUGGAGUAUACAAGAACUUGCGAGUAGUAUAUUUAAUUUUAUUAAAUUACAAAAGCAUAUAUGAUGAAACAGUAA
ncrna:unclassified sequences RAGATH-18 RNA